rnacentral:rRNA from 1 species
GACGAACGCUGGCGGCGUGCUUAACACAUGCAAGUCGAACGGAAAGGCCCCUUUGGGGGUACUCGAGUGGCGAACGGGUGAGUAACACGUGAGUAACCUGCCCUUGACUUCGGGAUAACUUCAGGAAACUGGGGCUAAUACCGGAUAGGAAUCCUUGCUGCAUGGUGGGGGUUGGAAAGCUUCGGCGGUUUUGGAUGGACUCGCGGCUUAUCAGCUUGUUGGUGGGGUAGUGGCUUACCAAGGCUUUGACGGGUAGCGGGCCUGAGAGGGCGACCGGCCACAUUGGGACUGAGAUACGGCCCAGACUCCUACGGGAGGCAGCAGUGGGGAAUAUUGCACAAUGGGCGGAAGCCUGAUGCAGCAACGCCGCGUGCGGGAUGACGGCCUUCGGGUUGUAAACCGCUUUCAGCAGGGGCGAAGCUUGUGGUGACGGUACCUGCAGAAGAAGCACCGGCUAACUACGUG